rnacentral:rRNA from 1 species
UACGAAGGGGGCGAGCGUUAAUCGGAAUUACUGGGCAUAAAGCGUGCGCAGGCGGUUCUCCAAGUCCGUUGUGAAAGCCCCGGGCUCAACCUGGGAAUGGCAGUGGAAACUAGGGGACUUGAAUCUGGCAGAGGGGGGUGGAAUUCCACGUGUAGCAGUGAAAUGCGUAGAGAUGUGGAGGAACACCGAUGGCGAAGGCAGCCCCCUGGGCUGAGAUUGACGCUCAGGCACGAAAGCGUGGGGAGCAAACAGG